rnacentral:rRNA from 1 species
CGGGAAAAGCUCAAAUUUAAAAUCUGGCAGUUCUUGCAGCUGUCCGAGUUGUAAUUUAGAGAAGCGUUAUCCGCGCUGGACCGUGUACAAGUCUCCUGGAACGGAGCGUCAUAGAGGGUGAGAAUCCCGUCCAUGGCACGGACUCCCAGUGCAUUGUGAUGCGCUCUCGAA